UCCAGCAUCCUACGUGCAUGUGCGCUCUCCGUUACCCGCCGAUCCGGCUUGGUGUGCUUCUCGUGUUUGCGGGUUGUGUGCCACACUUGAUUAAGCACCCCACGUUCUCCUACAGUGCGCCCUUGACCCUGGCUUUAGGUAGCGCCGUGUCCUCGGCUUGCCGUGCAUAAUCCAGGUAUGCGCCAACUCUCCGAGCUCCUGCUCACCAUUGGUGUUGCUCGAGCGUGGGUUCUGGUGUCGCGCAUAAAGGGAACACGGGAUGUGUGAUUGUGACAGUUCACAUAGCAACCCGCGGCAAGGCAAAGGAUGCCCAUCCAACUGGCAGGGAGCGGAGGUGGACCCAAAAAGGUGGAUGUUGACUCCAUAGGAGUCUCAACAAUGUGCUUGUCAGUAAGAGGAGCAAGAAGAUCCUAGAUAUACUUCUCUUAGCAAAUAAAGAAGCCAUCAAAGGUAGACUCAGGGAAGUAGCGAUGAGGACCAAGGUCAGACAUAAGAAACUCACUGUGACGAGCCUUCACAAAGGCAAUGUACUUAAGAGUCGUGCAUGGUCAUGAGCACCCGUUGAAAAACGAGCCUUAUUAACCACAGAGACAACGCUCAAACCAGUCAUGAGGGGUUUGCUAAAGAUCAUAUAGAGAACGCCGAAGGCGAUAAACCAUGCCGACUGGAAAAGAAUACCCAAGUGGUGGCUACAUGUAGGCAUUGUUGACAUCAAGCUGAGAGAUAGAUAGAUAGAUAGAUAGAGAGAGAGAGCGAGCCUAUGUUGGCAAACAGAAGCACAUCGAAAAGUGUGCCAAAAGUGGUCAUCUGGGCCAUACAGGAGCAAAUGUCUCAUCGUAGUCAUGACUAUAUGUUCUCACCACUAGACGAGCUUUAUAAAGCUCUAGAGAAAUAUCAUAGUCUCACCCUUGUGGGCCUAGUUACAGUGAUGAGACGAGCAAGAGGAGGAAGGGAAAUGAGAUUCCACUAGCCGACGAGGUGAAGAGCAUUAUUGCGGUGGUCUUCUUGUGAAGAGCACCGCAAUAACUAACCAUAGCAGUCAAUAGGCAGAAGCGGACGAGCUCGAAAGCCAUAAGUAGGCUGAUCUGGAGCUAUGUGUUGCCAACAGAAGAAGACAUAGUAGUUGAGGGAGAUGACUCAUUAGAAGAAUCCACAACACGCGAACAAUGAGUGUAGUAAAGUCAAGGAAGAUGAGCAAAAGAAGGAACAUGCAAGACAAACUGCCAAGAGUGCCUCGACUAUCGACUGGCAGGGAAGUUACAUUGACAGUAAAAACAUGAACAUGAGAAUCUAGAUGUGGAAUACCCAAGUGGUGGCUGCACGUAAAACCCCUCACAAAAUUCACCAUUAAAAAAGACAUUCUUAACAUCAAGCCGAGACGAAGUGACGAAUAAAGGCCGCAACAAGAUGUGUGUGAACAAUUGUCGUAUGGCCCGCAUGAGCAAAAACUCUCAUCGUAAUUAGGACCAUGAUUCUACUGAAAGCCACGAGCCACAAGACGAGAUUUGUAAUGUUCAAGAGAACCAUCAGAGCGAGUCUUAACCUUGUAGACGCACCAAGUAAUGGGACGAACACGAGGAGGAAGGGACAUAAUAUCCGAUGUGCUGAUGUGCUCAACAGUAGCAAUAUCCUCUACCAUGGCAAGGCGCCAUUUGGUAUGAAUAACAUCAAGAUAAGAAGUCUGCUCAAGAAAGUAGCGCCAACGUUUCAUAGCCUAAGGCGGUCAACAGGCAAAAGUGUACGAGGUCGCAAGCCAUAAGAAGGCCGAGACGGAGAAAAUGUCACAUCAGUAGAUGCAUCCACAACACACGAACGACGUGUUUAAAAGUGAGGCAAAUGUGGAAGAAUACGAGCAAUAAUCCUCGAGAUAAGCUUAGGUUAUGGGGACAAGGAAGUCACCGGUGAUGAAGGUUUAGAAUCCCGUGAUAAGCGAAGCGAGGAAAUCAUAGGAGAUGAUGGUGCUGAAUCUGUAAUAAUUGGAGAAGCAGGAGCAGUACGAGGAAUGGAAUAGGGCUCAACGAUAGUGAUAGGAAUGUCGGGAAAAGUGAGAUAACACAUCCUCCACUAAAAAGGUCGGGGAUGAUGGCCACACGCAGCAGGGACGAGACUCACUAAAACUCAUACCGUGAGAAAUAGUCACCCGAUGACCAACCUGAUCCCAACAACAAUAUCUCUUAUGGUCAUUGUUGUAUCCUAUGAACACUCAACAUACUAAGUAGUAAGUUUGGUACAUUGACGAGAGGCAGUAAGGGCACAUCAAACACAACCAAACAAUUGAAGCGCUGAAUAAUCUGGAAACGAUCAAAUAGACUCUCGAAAGGAGAUGACCAUGGUGGAAGUGGAGACAAAUUCAACCCAAAAGUGUGGCGUAAGAGAGGCAGUGACCAUCCAAAAGUGUGGCGGAAGAGAGAGCAGUGACAUUGAACCUAUGAGCCGUCUCAAUAGUUGACGAUGCUUGCCCUCAGCCAUGCCAUUUUUGAGCAUGAGCACCAGGAUAAGAGAACUUAGCAAUGGCACCCUGCUCAACAAGGAUUGAGCGCAACAUCUUGGAGAUUUAUUCUCCACCGAGUCAUCACAGAAUACAAGAAUAGGCGUAGAGAGAUACUAUGUUGGCAAACAGAAGCCACAUCGAAAAGUGUGCCAAAAGUGGUCAUCCGGGGCCAUACAGGAGCAAAUGUCUCAUCGUAGUCAUGACUAUGUUCUCACCACUAGAUGAGCUUUGGAAAGCUCUAGAGAAACAUCAUAGCCUCACCCUUUGAUGUCAUCACAUGCUGCCAUUAUGGAUGAAAAAACGUCAUGAUAAGAAGUCGUCUUGCGAAGAGCACCACAAUAACUAACCAUAGCAGGUGAGCUCGAAAGCCAUAAGUAGGCUGAUCUGGAGCUAUGUGUUGCCAACAGAAGAAUACAUAGUAAUCGAGGGAGUUGACUCAUUAGAAGAAUCCACAACACGCGAACAGUGAGUGUAGUAAAGUCAAGGAAGACGAGCAAAAGAUGGAACAUGAAAAGAGAAACUGCCAAGAGUGCCUCGACUAUCGACAGGUAGGGAAGUUACCAGGAUAAGAGAACUGAGCAAGAGCACCGUGCUCAACAAGGAUUGAAUGCAACAUCUUGGAGAUUUAUUCUCCACCAGAGUCAUCACGGAAUACAAGAAUAGGCGUAGGGAACUUGUUCGUGUGCCUUGGCGUCAAAACGCUUACACAUAUAAGACCUCACUACGAAAGGAAAUAAAGUAUAUCCAGGUGUGUUGAGAGAAGUCAUCUAUAAAUAUAGUACUAGCGAUGACCUCCUUUCGAGGCGAAAGGAGGUGGGCCCCAGACAUUAGAGUGAACAAGGUUGAAAGGGUUGUUGAGACACUGUCUCGCUAUGAGCAUAAGGUAAGUAUAGCUGUUUACCAAGCCGACAACCCAGACAGUUUAGAGACAUCAUCCGAGACUGAUCCAAGAAGACCAUGUCAAACUAAGGAUGCGAGAUGAGAGCCACACAAGUGACCCCAGGCGACGAUGGCACUUCUAAGCAUAAAUGGUAGACAAGGUAACAGAGGUGGAGAGACUAGCGGCUGUAGCAGCAGAGUCACUUGAUCCAGCAUCCUACGUGCCUGUGCGCUCUCCGUUACCCGCCGAUCCGGCUUGGUGUGCUUCUCCUGUUUGCGGGUUGUGUGCCAGCACUUGAUUAAGCACCCCACGUUCUCCUACAGUGCGCCCUUGACCCUGGCUUUAGGUAGCGCCUUGUCCUCGGCUUGCCGUGCAUAAUCCAGGUAUGCGCCAACUGUCCGAGCUCCUGCUCACCAUUGGUGUUGCUCGAGCGUGGGUUCUGGUGUCGCCCAUAAAGGGAACACGGGAUGUGGGAUUGAGACAGUUCACAUAGCAACCCACAGCAAGGCAAAGGAUGCCCAUCCAACUGGCAGGGAGCGGAGGUGGACCCAAAAAGGUGGAUGUUGACUCGAAGGAGUCUCAACAGUACGCUUGUCAGUAAGAGGAGCAAGAAGAUCCUGGAUAUACUUCUCUUAGCAAAUAAAGAAGCCAUCAAAGGUAGACUCAGGGAAGUAGCGACGAGGACCAAGGUCAGACAUAAGAAACUCACUGUGACGAGCCUUCACAAAGGCAAUGUACUUAAGAGUCGUGCAGGAUCAUGAGCACCCGUUGAAAAACGAGCCUUAUUAACCACAGAGACAACACUCAAACCAGUCAUGAGGGGUUUGCUAAAGAGCAUAUAGAGAACGCCGAAGGCGACAAACCAUGCCGGCUGGAAAAGAAUACCCAAGUGGUGGUUACAUGUAGGAUUGUUGACAUCAAGCAGAGAGAGAGAGAGAGAGAGAUAGAUAGAGAGAGAGCCUAUGUUGGCAAACAGAAGCACAUCGAAAAGUGUGCCAACAGUGGUCAUCUGGGCCAUACAGGAGCAAAUGUCUCAUCGUAGUCAUGACUGUAUGUUCUCACCAGUAGACGAGCUUUGUAAAGCUCUAGAGAAACAUCAUAGUCUCACCCUUGUGGGUCUAGUUACAAGUAAUGAGACGAGCAAGAGGAGGAAGGGAAAUGAGAUUCCACUAGCCGACAAG
rnacentral:lncRNA from 1 species